UACGUAGGCAGCGAGCGUUGUUCGGAGUUACUGGGCGUAAAGGGUGUGUAGGCGGUUGUUUAAGUUUGGUGUGAAAUCUCCCGGCUCAACUGGGAGGGUGCGCCGAAUACUGAAUGACUUGGAGUGCGGGAGAGGAGAGUGGAAUUCCUGGUGUAGCGGUGAAAUGCGUAGAUAUCGGGAGGAACACCUGUGGCGAAAGCGGCUCACUGGACCACAACUGACGCUGAGGCGCGAAAGCUAGGGGAGCAAACAGG
rnacentral:rRNA from 1 species